GCCGAAAGCUUUCGUUAAGGGAUUUCCCUUGGGAAGGUCUGAGUGGGAUGAGGCCGAAAUGGCACUUAGUUAAUCCUAAACACUGAUUUAAUAGAAAUUCACUUUUUAUAUGACUGAAACAGGAUGAUUAUAAAUAAGUUUGGAAAUAAUCAGUCAUUUCAUUUGUAAAUAGUCUAACUCGAAAGGCAAUGUUGUUCCAUUGUAACAGAAUUCAGACUACUCUUUGGC
rnacentral:RNase_P_RNA from 2 species